UUGAAGAAUUUAAAGAUUGAACUUGAUUUUAAAGGAUUUGAAGACUUCAACUUGCAAGCUUAAAGAAUUUGAAGACUUCAACU
rnacentral:pre_miRNA from 1 species